CGGGCAGAGGCUCUUCAUUUUAUUUGGGGUUUGGGUCACAGACCCCCUUGAGAUCCUAUGGACCCUCUCCAAAGAUCAAGUACAGGACAAUGUUUAUUCCAUCUCAGGAGCUCCACAACCCUGGGUUUAAAAGCCCUGCCUAGGAGGUAAAGGGACGGUUGCCGGGUGUACCCCGCACGCAGGCACGCAGGUACUCACUCUCAUUCCUUCACCCAACCGUCACCGAAGGCUCGACUUAAGGCAAAGAUCCCCUUAGUCAUGCUAGCAGCUCCACCCUCAGCAUCCAGCCCUUAACGGGCGCUCAACAGAGAACUGCUGAAUGAAUGCUUGUGCUGACAGGUGCUGUGCUGGGAACAGAGAUGAACAGGGUUGUAAAGGAAACAUUUUGUGAACUGUGGUAUAAAGGCAAUGGAAAAUGCAGGCCUGUUAAGUGACAUAACACAUCCAUUCUUGAAUCCUGCAAAGGAUAUUGUAACAAGAAUUAAAGAUUGUAACUUCAGGUAAAUCAACACAGGAAUAAACGUCCAUGGGUUUAAGCCACCUCUAAAAAUUAUGAGAUGUCUAAUAAUCCUAUGAUUAUGUGGUCUGUUCUGAAAAAGAGUAUUAAACCAAGUGUUUGACUGAGUAUUAAAAAAACAGAUUAUCUAAUGGCUUCCAAGGGGGAAAUAUAAGAAAGACCAUUCAUAAAGUUCCUUAAUAGUAAUAAAUUAUACACACUUCCUUAUUCUACACAUAAAUGGAAAGACAAAGACAAACUAUGAAAGAAAGGAUGUGUUCUCACACCUUCAAAAGGACCACAUUUUAAUUAAAUAAAAUUCCUCCAAAUUGUUUGCUAUCAAUAUAUGAACUUAAUGUUCUUUUCAAAUGAGCACCAGAAAAAUGCUUAUCAAGUUGUAAAAUGUCUCAGUUUUUCUUAAUAUUCAAAAUGCCAACUUCAGAGUCUUGAUUUUUAGAAUGUAUUUGUUUUAUAUGAUAGUCGAAAUACAAACUGGGAAAAAAGGCCCAAAAUGCAAAAUUCAUCCUGAUUUAUGUUGCCAUUAUUCAAAUAUAGAAGAUUAGACUAAACCUUGAAAAUUCAAGUUAUCUCAUUUUAAAUUUUAUUUAAAUCAUCUCUAUGAUUGUGGCAUUCAUAUUAAAGGACAGAUCAUAACCUGUGGAUAUAAAUUGACACUUGGAGAAUAAAGCAGUUAAGUAACAUUCUCCAAAUGUCAAAAAUUUUGUAGUA